UCCUCAGUGUUACAGGCCUUGGCCCAGGGUCCCAGGACUCAUUAUCCCCCCCUGCUGUAUGAAAGCCUCAAAGGCCCACAUUCAAGAGCCCUUUGUUUCCUGCUUUGAACAGAGGGAAACCACAUUUGCUCAUUGUGGAAUACAUGCAUUCCUUUUUACCACUGCGAACAAAACACAGUACUGUGUGGAUCCAGAAGCCAAAUGGCUCAAAAGAAGAUUCCAAAGGUUACAGAAAAAAGGGAUAUGUUGCUACUGAAAGGCGUCCAACAGCCAAAAUGAAGAUGAUACAUUAUGACCUUCCAACAGAAAUCUUUAUAUUUAAACCAUUUUUUUUUAAUGUUCCUGAAUUAGAGCUUUAAUUAUCUAUUGUUUUAAUACAUAUCAAGAUAAUAACUAUGUCUUUAUAGGACUCUUUACACCAAAGUAAUUUUGACCAAGUCAUAUAGCAGCUUGGUGCCAUUGGUACAUAGAUAUGCAUUUAUUAUCUCUGAAGGUGAAGUUUGCUGAUAGCCUAAUGUUAGCUUUGCACUUUUGGUGAUUGCAUUUACACUCCAGAAAUAAUUAUAGUGUUCAUUCUGUUCCUGGUCUCUUGGACGCCUAGCAGGCUCAUAAUUAUAAGCCUGUGGGCCGUCAUAUGCACAUGAAUGUACAUUUUCAACCUCUUCAGGCUCAAAACUAGUACUGGGAUCCAUGUUUAUUAAUGUUACUGUAACCGGUCUGGUCUGACACUCGGGAUGGCUAUGAACUCUGCGUUGUGUUGUGGGUGAUGAGGAAGGAGACGAGGAUAACCUCUGCUUUGCUGAC